rnacentral:lncRNA from 1 species
CCUCAAUGGGACGGGCUCUUGUGCUGCCCUGCAAGGACAGCACACCAGGCUGUGUGUCCCUGCCCACACUGAGGGGACAGUGCCCGUGCUGGGGGACAGACAGUGCCCUGCACAAAAUGCUGCAGGGUUCAGCAAAAUGGUGAUGUGGAAAGCCAGCAACAGCAUUUUGUCUUACUACCUCCUUCAUGUAUCAGCAGCAUUGAAUAAGGCAAGGAAAGGAAUGUGAAUAGUGAUGGAUGAGAGGAGCAUUGAAUUUCCUGCAAACACUCAUCCACUCUUUCUGUGACUGGGCUUCAGCUGCAUUCUCAUGUAUUUGUGCUUUCCAUUAAUGCUGCACGACAGUACAAAUGCCAGUGGAAGCUGGGUGCCCUUGGAUUCACCUCUCAGGUGAGGUUUGCCCUCCUUCACCACAGGAGAGAAGAAGCCUGGCAGCAGGAAGACCAAAAGAUUAAAAUAGAAUAUUCUGGAAUCAUAUCAAGAUGGAACAAAGAAUCUGUGCAUUAUCAACCAAGACCUAUUCCUGGAAAUUCAGUAUGCCAGCUCACCUCCCAAGCAUGCUCAGAUGAGAUUUCUGUGACUAAAAACCAGAGCAUCCUGAUGCCACAAGACACUCGCUCACAUCACCAAUAGAUUGUGACCUUUACUCUGCAUAAGCAUAUUAACAGACUGGGCCAUUUUACAAAUUACACUGCAUUCCUGAAUAGUGAAAUAAAAUGUCAGAAAAGCUCA